GAUCAUGGCUCAGGAUGAACGCUAGCUACAGGCUUAACACAUGCAAGUCGAGGGGAAACGGCAUCGAAAGCUUGCUUUUGAUGGGCGUCGACCGGCGCACGGGUGAGUAACGCGUAUCCAACCUGCCCAUCACUUGGGAAUAACCUUGCGAAAGUAAGACUAAUACCCAAUGAUAUCCCACGAAGGCAUCCGAAUGAGAUUAAAGAUUUAUCGGUGAUGGAUGGGGAUGCGU
rnacentral:rRNA from 1 species